UAAUGGGCCGAACGAAAUAGGAAUUUAAUGUCUACUUCCAUUUAUGGUCAUUUUUAUUGCAUCUUGUAUUUACUUAAGCAACUAUUGAUCCUUUUUCUCUGCUGGGAAAAGCCCACAUUGUCAUUCGCCACUGGGGGAUGUAUGUAAUAAAAAUCAAUUAAUUAUUAAAAUAAUUUCUAACGACAUUACAGGUUGGGAAACAGAACACACAGGUAAUAUACACUAAAUUUAAGGAUUACUUUAGUUUUAAAGAUAAAAUAUUUAUAUAGAGGAUAAAAAAGUUCUUGUUAGCAGAAAGGCAAGACCUGGCUUAUAGCCAAGAGCCGAGUCAACCUGACCUGCUAACAAAUGACACAACUAAAAUAAUUCAUUGGGCACUGAAGAGAUACAUUUUUUUUUGCUCAGCGGACGGAUCUUGACAUAUCUCAUGGAAUUAAGAUGAAUGCAUUGGCAUUAACUGUGGUCGAAACAAUGUCACUCUCACAGUAGUUCCACCUUCUAAUUGUUUUGAAUGACAUAGCUAAAUGUAUUUCAUGUUAAAAUUAUCAUUGCAUUUAAGAAAUUUUUUGUUCAAUCUGUAGACAUGUCAGUGGCGUCACUAGGUGGUGCGGGGGGGGGGGGUGCGGUUCGCACCGGUAGACACCCGUUGGGGGGGGGGGGUGACACCCAAGAAAAAAAAAGAAACUUUGUGAAUAGCUGACAAUUUUAAAAAAUAAAUGACAGUGGGUAAAUAUUAGAAUAUGUUAUUUAAAAUUAAUAAAUAGAUCUAUCUACUUAUUUUUCAUUUCAGCUAAACAUAUUUUAAUUUUUAUUAUGAAAUUCUAUCAAAAUGUUAAAAAUGUUAUAUCAUAUUUAAUUUCACAAGGAAAACGUGACGCCUUACUUUCAGAUGUAUACCAGCUGCAUGUAUCAUUGUAUGUAUAUGAACACUGCUUUUUGUUUAAAAAUGUUUUAAUUGAAUCUAUUCA